CAGGCUGUCAAGGGAAAAAAAAAUGUGACUGAGCUGCUGACUGCAGGUGCCAGACCCCAGGGCCCACCCUGAUCCUUGGAGCCCUUAGGGGAGACAAGAGUGGCUGAAGAAAGGUGCUCUGUCCCUUUAAAAGGUACCCCUCCUCCUUAUAUAUAAGCAUAAACCAUCCUACUUCCCUGGUCUAGUGCUGCCAGGGUAACCAGAUGCCCCGUUGCCAUGGAAACAUGGAUUCCAGAGUUGAGGUCAAACAUUUGGUGGGCCUCACCUCCUCCUCACUGUCCAGCGGAGAGGCUAGUUGCUCCCACUUGUUGCCCCUACUAUUCCUCAUUCUUUUAGGCCCUUCCUAACACCUACCAGCCUAGCCUCAGGUUCCUGGGCCCUGACCUCUGUCUUCCUUGGACCCUACCUUCCAUCCCUCCUGCUCUGUCCCUUUCCCUGCUCCAACCUGGGCAUUUGUAGAGCUUCCGGGCCUGAGCGAUGUCCCCCUUGCUGAGUCGGGUCCUUUGGCCAAUGGAAGGCUUCACCCCAUUCACCUCAUACUUGGGAACAAUGGUGUCCAGGAAGAUGCCCCUGAGAAGGACAUGAGGACAUGAGUCUGCCGGAAGGUGGAUGAAGAAGGAGGGUGGUGUGCUCAUCUACAGCCACAGGGCAUGACUCUGCCAGGGCCCAGACAUUCCUCAGCAAGGUCAGGGAAGGGCGGAGAUGUCUCACCCUGUCAUUAAGCUGCCCACUGACCAGCAGCCACCCUGUUCCGUGGCAGCUAUACCACAGGAGCUGGAGGGAGCCCCAGAAAUGCUCUGAAAGUCCAGGGACCCGGAUCCUUCUGCUCAGACUGACUUCAAGCCACAGCCCUAGGACAGCUUCGAGUUCCUAUCUGUCAUCUGCGACACCACCCAGCUGCCACCUCCAGACCUCAAAUCCAGUCCCGGUCGACUUCUCUCCUGACUUCCCAGGGUCAACUCAUUACCCUCUGACAUGGCAGUGACUGGAGUAAGGCCAAAGGGUAACUAACUGCAGCUUCCACAGUGGCCAGCCAGCUCCUAGGGCACAGUGUCCCUCUUUCCCAAUUCCUUCCUGCUAAUCUCUGUCUUUCCAUUUGGGAGGGGCAGAACAAAGAGGAGAUGGCAGUUCUCCCCUCCCCAGGGUCCCUGACUCACAUCCAGCUGGGGAGGACCCGGCAGGGGGUGUGAGUAUGAUGGGAAAUGGAAAGAGGGUCUGUGGGGGUGGAGGGCUAAAUGACUUCACUACCCCACCCCUCCCCCACCUCUGUCUCCAUUCCCAGAUCCUGAGCUGUAAGAGUGGGUCAAGAGGAGGUUAGAGAGGAAGGGGUUGGGCCACCACCCAGACAGAGACAUGGGUGCAGGAAGGCCAGUCCAGGAAGGGGUGUGAGGAGGGGUGGGGACAUUCCUCCCAGUCCUACAGGAGGGUCUCCUCCCAUGGAGCCAUGGUUAAAGAGGUAUCUUGUGAACUGGCAAUGGGGACCAGUCUAGGGCAAAAGUCAAGCUUUGUGCAAAUUAGCCAGUCACAAAAUAGACCAAGCUGGUCCUGCUCUGUGACCUCUGCUGAAGCAAGACAAUCAAACGUUCAAGGUCUGCAGGUUAGUGAGACAGCGCAAUGGUCAAGACACCAGAACCCACAUUGUGGAAGGAGAGAAACAGCUCCUGCAUUUGUCCUGUGACCACCACAGGUGCGAUGUGGCGUGUAUGUGCACAUGCAUACACAAAUAUAAAUGUGUGAGAGGAAAAGAAAUAAUUUUAUAUUCAAAUCCUGUCAGGGCUACAUGGUGAACUCAAGGCCAGUCUGGGUAAGUUAGUAAAACCCUCUUUCAAAAAAUAAAAAUUAGAUGGCUGGAGAGAUGGCUCAGCAGUUAAGAGCACUGAUACCCACAUAGCAUCUCACAACUGUCUGUAAUUCCAGUUCCAGGAAAUCUGACAGACAGACAUGCAGGUAAAACACCAAUGCAUAUAAAAUAAAUUUUAAAAAGUUUAAAAAAUAAAAAUUAAUGGGACUAGGCAUAUAAGACAGGGGACAGACAGCACUUGCCUGGUGUCAUGAGGCCCUGGGUUCAUCUCUAAUACUACAGAACAAAACAAGGCAAAGAGGACAGACAGCUAGAGGUAUUCCCCUAUGGGUGCUACCGGAAAAAUAAACUGCCAUGGUGGCUGAUG